GGCUGGUUCCUCUCUUGCAUGGACCUCAGGCCAACACACAGGCUUUUCYAUUCGGAAGGAUAUAGUUUCUCCAUGCAAGUGUCAACAAGAUCCAGACAAGUGACACAUUUACCUCACUGAAUCCUGUGUCCAGAUGAUCUGUGAGCUUUCAAGUCAGGAGAAGAAACCUGUUUCCAGAUCUUGCAGCUGUAGAGAAAAAACUUGCAAACAGGA